GCCCUCGGUGGCUCAGAUGGAUAGAGCGUCUGCCAUGUAAGCAGAAGAUCCCGGGUUCGAGUCCCGAUCGGGGCA
rnacentral:tRNA from 1 species